AUUGAACGCUGGCGGCAGGCCUAACACAUGCAAGUCGAACGCGUGGCGGCCGGGUGAGUUAUGUCUGGGAAACUGCCCGAUGGAGGGGGAUAACUACUAGAAACGGUAUCUAAUACCGCAUUCCCUCGGAUGUGCCCAGAUGGGAUUAGCUAGUAGGUGGGGUAAUGGCUCACCUAGGCGACGAUCCCUAGCUGGUCUGAGAGGAUGACCAGACACACUGGAACGGAGACACGGUCCAGACUCCUACGGGAGGCAGCAGUGGGGAAUAUUGCACAAUGGGCGCAAGCCUGAUGCAGCCAUGCCGCGUGUAUGAAGAAGGCCUUCGGGUUGUAAAGGACGUUCAGCGAGGAGGCGUUACUCGCAGAAGAAGCACCGGCUAACUCCGUGCCAGCAGCCGCGGUAAUUC
rnacentral:rRNA from 1 species